rnacentral:rRNA from 1 species
UACAUGGGGUGCAAACGUUGCUCGGAAUUAUUGGGCGUAAAGCGCACGUAGGCGGUCCGUUAAGUCAGAUGUGAAAGCCCCCGGCUCAACCGGGGAGGUGCAUCUGAAACUGGCGGGCUAGAGUACGAAAGAGGGUCGCGGAAUUCCCGGUGUAGAGGUGAAAUUCGUAGAUAUCGGGAGGAACACCAGUGGCGAAGGCGGCGAUCUGGGAAGAUACUGACGCUGAGGUGCGAAAGCGUGGGGAGCAAACAGG